rnacentral:rRNA from 1 species
AGAGUUUGAUCAUGGCUCAGAAUGAACGCUGGCGGCGUGCUUAAGACAUGCAAGUCGAGCGAGAAAGCUCCUUCGGGAGUGAGUACAGCGGCGGACGAGUGAGUAACACGUGAGAACCUACCUGUUAGUGAAGGAUACCCACGAGAAAUCGUGGUUAAUACUGCAUACGUCCCUUCGGGGAGAAAGGUGGCUUUAUGCUACCGCUAAUAGAUGGGCUUGCGGACUAUCAGCUUGUUGGUGGGGUAAAGGCCCACCAAGGCUAUGACGGUUAACCGGCCUGAGAGGGUGUACGGUCACGUUGGAACUGAGAUACGGUCCAGACUCCUACGGGAGGCAGCAGUCAGGAAUAUUGCACAAUGGGCGAAAGCCUGAUGCAGCGACGCCGCGUGGAGGAUGACGGCCUUCGGGUUGUAAACUCCUGUUAAGUGGGAUAAAAUCCUUGCUUCUAAUACAGGCAAGGGAUGAUAGUACCAUUAGAGAAAGCACCGGCUAACUUCGUGCCAGCAGCCGCGGUAAUACGAGGGGUGCAAGCGUUAUUCGGAUUUAUUGGGCGUAAAGGGUGCGUAGGUGGUGUGUUAAGUCUGUUGUUAAAUUUUCCGGCCUAACCGGAAGCAUGCAGUGGAAACUGGCGCACUUGAGGACGGAAGAGGGAAGUGGAAUUCCCGGAGUAGCGGUAAAAUGCGUGGAUCUCGAGAGGAACACCGAUGGCGAAGGCAGCUUCCUGGUCCAUAUCUGACACUGAGGCACGAAAGCGUGGGGAGCAAACAGGAUUAGAUACCCUAGUAGUCC